rnacentral:rRNA from 1 species
CCCUACGGGGCGCAGCAGGCGCGAAAACUUUACAAUGCGGAAAACCGUGAUAAGGGAACUCCGAGUGCCCGUAAAAUCGGGCUGUCCAUCAGUUUAAAAAACUGGUGAAGAAAGGGCCGGGCAAGACCGGUGCCAGCCGCCGCGGUAAUACCGGCGGCUCGAGUGGUGGCCACUAUUACUGGGCUUAAAGCGUUCGUAGCUGGUUUGUUAAGUCUCUGGGGAAAUCUUCCGGCUUAACCGGAAGGCGUCUCAGGGAUACUGGCAGACUAGGGACCGGAAGAGGUGAGGGGUACUCCAGGGGUAGGAGUGAAAUCCUGUAAUCC